GGGGGGGUAGCUCAGUGGAAGAGCGCAGCGAAUCUGCUUCCUGAGGUCCUGGGUUCGACACCCAGUUCUCCCA
rnacentral:tRNA from 1 species